rnacentral:rRNA from 2 species
UGGCGGCGAUAGCGCGGUGGUCCCACCUGACCCCAUGCCGAACUCAGAAGUGAAACGCCGUAGCGCCGAUGGUAGUGUGGGGUCUCCCCAUGUGAGAGUAGGGAACUGCCAGGUA